rnacentral:rRNA from 1 species
AGAUGCGAUCAUACCAGCACUAAAGCACCAGAUCCCAUCAGAACUUCGAAGUUAAGCGUGCUUGGGCGAGAGUAGUACUAGGAUGGGUGACCUCCUGGGAAGUCCUCGUGUUGCAUUCC